rnacentral:rRNA from 1 species
AGAUUAAGUUAUUAAGGGCGCACGGUGGAUGCCUUGGCACUAGAAGCCGAUGAAGGACGUUACUAACGACGAUAUGCUUUGGGGAGCUGUAAGUAAGCUUUGAUCCAGAGAUUUCCGAAUGGGGAAACCCAGCAUGAGUUAUGUCAUGUUAUCGAUAUGUGAAUACAUAGCAUAUCAGAAGGCACACCCGGAGAACUGAAACAUCUUAGUACCCGGAGGAAGAGAAAGAAAAUUCGAUUCCCUUAGUAGCGGCGAGCGAAACGGGAAGAGCCCAAACCAACAAGCUUGCUUGUUGGGGUUGUAGGACACUCUAUACGGAGUUACAAAGGACGACAUUAGACGAAUCAUCUGGAAAGAUGAAUCAAAGAAGGUAAUAAUCCUGUAGUCGAAAAUGUUGUCUCUCUUGAGUGGAUCCUGAGUACGACGGAGCACGUGAAAUUCCGUCGGAAUCUGGGAGGACCAUCUCCUAAGGCUAAAUACUCUCUAGUGACCGAUAGUGAACCAGUACCGUGAGGGAAAGGUGAAAAGCACCCCGGAAGGGGAGUGAAACAGAACCUGAAACCGUGUGCUUACAAGUAGUCAGAGCCCGUUAAUGGGUGAUGGCGUGCCUUUUGUAGAAUGAACCGGCGAGUUACGAUUUGAUGCAAGGUUAAGCAGUAAAUGUGGAGCCGUAGCGAAAGCGAGUCUGAAUAGGGCGUUUAGUAUUUGGUCGUAGACCCGAAACCAGGUGAUCUACCCUUGGUCAGGUUGAAGUUCAGGUAACACUGAAUGGAGGACCGAACCGACUUACGUUGAAAAGUGAGCGGAUGAACUGAGGGUAGCGGAGAAAUUCCAAUCGAACCUGGAGAUAGCUGGUUCUCUCCGAAAUAGCUUUAGGGCUAGCCUCAAGUGAUGAUUAUUGGAGGUAGAGCACUGUUUGGACGAGGGGCCCCUCUCGGGUUACCGAAUUCAGACAAACUCCGAAUGCCAAUUAAUUUAACUUGGGAGUCAGAACAUGGGUGAUAAGGUCCGUGUUCGAAAGGGAAACAGCCCAGACCACCAGCUAAGGUCCCAAAAUAUAUGUUAAGUGGAAAAGGAUGUGGCGUUGCCCAGACAACUAGGAUGUUGGCUUAGAAGCAGCCAUCAUUUAAAGAGUGCGUAAUAGCUCACUAGUCGAGUGACACUGCGCCGAAAAUGUACCGGGGCUAAACAUAUUACCGAAGCUGUGGAUUGUCCUUUGGACAAUGGUAGGAGAGCGUUCUAAGGGCGUUGAAGCAUGAUCGUAAGGACAUGUGGAGCGCUUAGAAGUGAGAAUGCCGGUGUGAGUAGCGAAAGACGGGUGAGAAUCCCGUCCACCGAUUGACUAAGGUUUCCAGAGGAAGGCUCGUCCGCUCUGGGUUAGUCGGGUCCUAAGCUGAGGCCGACAGGCGUAGGCGAUGGAUAACAGGUUGAUAUUCCUGUACCACCUAUAAUCGUUUUAAUCGAUGGGGGGACGCAGUAGGAUAGGCGAAGCGUGCGAUUGGAUUGCACGUCUAAGCAGUAAGGCUGAGUAUUAGGCAAAUCCGGUACUCGUUAAGGCUGAGCUGUGAUGGGGAGAAGACAUUGUGUCUUCGAGUCGUUGAUUUCACACUGCCGAGAAAAGCCUCUAGAUAGAAAAUAGGUGCCCGUACCGCAAACCGACACAGGUAGUCAAGAUGAGAAUUCUAAGGUGAGCGAGCGAACUCUCGUUAAGGAACUCGGCAAAAUGACCCCGUAACUUCGGGAGAAGGGGUGCUCUUUAGGGUUAACGCCCAGAAGAGCCGCAGUGAAUAGGCCCAAGCGACUGUUUAUCAAAAACACAGGUCUCUGCUAAACCGUAAGGUGAUGUAUAGGGGCUGACGCCUGCCCGGUGCUGGAAGGUUAAGAGGAGUGGUUAGCUUCUGCGAAGCUACGAAUCGAAGCCCCAGUAAACGGCGGCCGUAACUAUAACGGUCCUAAGGUAGCGAAAUUCCUUGUCGGGUAAGUUCCGACCCGCACGAAAGGCGUAACGAUUUGGGCACUGUCUCAACGAGAGACUCGGUGAAAUCAUAGUACCUGUGAAGAUGCAGGUUACCCGCGACAGGACGGAAAGACCCCGUGGAGCUUUACUGUAGCCUGAUAUUGAAAUUCGGCACAGCUUGUACAGGAUAGGUAGGAGCCUUUGAAACGUGAGCGCUAGCUUACGUGGAGGCGCUGGUGGGAUACUACCCUAGCUGUGUUGGCUUUCUAACCCGCACCACUUAUCGUGGUGGGAGACAGUGUCAGGCGGGCAGUUUGACUGGGGCGGUCGCCUCCUAAAAGGUAACGGAGGCGCUCAAAGGUUCCCUCAGAAUGGUUGGAAAUCAUUCAUAGAGUGUAAAGGCAUAAGGGAGCUUGACUGCGAGACCUACAAGUCGAGCAGGGUCGAAAGACGGACUUAGUGAUCCGGUGGUUCCGCAUGGAAGGGCCAUCGCUCAACGGAUAAAAGCUACCCCGGGGAUAACAGGCUUAUCUCCCCCAAGAGUUCACAUCGACGGGGAGGUUUGGCACCUCGAUGUCGGCUCAUCGCAUCCUGGGGCUGUAGUCGGUCCCAAGGGUUGGGCUGUUCGCCCAUUAAAGCGGUACGCGAGCUGGGUUCAGAACGUCGUGAGACAGUUCGGUCCCUAUCCGUCGUGGGCGUAGGAAAUUUGAGAGGAGCUGUCCUUAGUACGAGAGGACCGGGAUGGACAUACCUCUGGUGUACCAGUUGUCGUGCCAACGGCAUAGCUGGGUAGCUAUGUGUGGACGGGAUAAGUGCUGAAAGCAUCUAAGCAUGAAGCCCCCCUCAAGAUGAGAUUUCCCAACUUCGGUUAUAAGAUCCCUCAAAGAUGAUGAGGUUAAUAGGUUCGAGGUGGAAGCAUGGUGACAUGUGGAGCUGACGAAUACUAAUCGAUCGAAGACUUAAUCAAAUU